rnacentral:rRNA from 1 species
AUUGAACGCUGGCGGCAUGCCUUCCACAUGCAAGUCGAACGGCAGCGCGGGAGCAAUCCUGGCGGCGAGUGGCGAACGGGUGAGUAAUACAUCGGAACGUGCCCAAUCGUGGGGGAUAACGCAGCGAAAGCUGUGCUAAUACCGCAUACGAUCUACGGAUGAAAGCAGGGGAUCGCAAGACCUUGCGCGAAUGGAGCGGCCGAUGGCAGAUUAGGUAGUUGGUGAGGUAAAGGCUCACCAAGCCUUCGAUCUGUAGCUGGUCUGAGAGGACGACCAGCCACACUGGGACUGAGACACGGCCCAGACUCCUACGGGAGGCAGCAGUGGGGAAUUUUGGACAAUGGGCGAAAGCCUGAUCCAGCCAUGCCGCGUGCAGGAUGAAGGCCUUCGGGUUGUAAACUGCUUUUGUACGGAACGAAACGGUCUUUUCUAAUAAAGAAGGCUAAUGACGGUACCGUAAGAAUAAGCACCGGCUAACUACGUG